CUGCAUUGUCAAGUGACUGGACUGCCACCCCCAUGGUUGUCCAGACUCAUUCCAGUGCCAAAUAAACCUCUGUUUGUAGAAGGGUUGGGCUAGACCACUGGCUCCCCCUUUUUGAAAGCUGAGAACAAAU